rnacentral:rRNA from 1 species
UUCCGGUUGAUCCUGCCGGAGGUCACUGCUAUUGGGAUUCGACUAAGCCAUGCGAGUCGAGAGGGUUCGGCCCUCGGCUGACUGCUCAGUAACACGUGGAUAAUCUGCCCUAUGGUGGAGGAUAACCUCGGGAAACUGAGAAUAAUACUCCAUAGGUCUAGGAUGCUGGAAUGCACCUAGGCUCAAAACUCCGGUGCCAUAGGAUGAGUCUGCGGACUAUCAGGUUGUAGUCAGGGUAAUGACCUGACUAGCCUACGACGGAUAUGGGUUGUGAGAGCAAUAACCCAGAGAUGAUAUCUGAGACACGAUAUCAGGCCCUACGGGGCGCAGCAGGCGCGAAAACUUCACAAUGCGCGAAAGCGCGAUGAGGGAAUCCCAAGUGCUUGCACGUUAGUGUAAGCUGUUUUUAUGUUUAAAAAGCAUAGAGAGUAAGGGCUGGGUAAGACGGGUGCCAGCCGCCGCGGUAAUACCUGCAGCUCAAGUGGUGACCGCUAUUAUUGGGCCUAAAACGUCCGUAGCCGGUUUAAUAAAUGCCUGGGUAAAUUGUGCCGCUUAACGGUACGAAUUCCGGGUAGACUGUUAAGCUUGAGACCGGGAGAAGUUAGAGGUACUCCUGGGGUAGAGGUGAAAUUCUGUAAUCCUAGGGGGACCACCAGUGGCGAAGGCGUCUGACUAGAACGGAUCUGACGGUGAGGGACGAAGCCCUGGGGCGCAAACCGGAUUAGAUACCCGGGUAGUCCAGGGUGUAAACGCUGCUUGCUUGAUGUUAGUCGGGCUCCGAGCCCGAUUAGUGUCGGAGAGAAGUUGUUAAGCAAGCUGCCUGGGAAGUACGAUCGCAAGAUUGAAACUUAAAGGAAUGGCGGGGGAGCACAGCAACGGGUGGAGCGUGCGUUAAUUGGAUUCAACGCCGGA